rnacentral:rRNA from 1 species
CCCUACGGGGUGCAGCGCAUCCAGCUGGGGGAUUGUCCGGGGUUGAGAAAAUUCCUUGAAAAGCACAUCCGGGCGUAGGGUGCGUCUCACACACCAUUUUCAGAUUUUUCAAAAACUUGCAUUCAACGCACCCUACCCCAGCUCCUGAGAACUAAUAUACCACGGAGCUCAAAAUACUUGGAAUGGCAAACAUUAUGUACCCUUGCUGAGCGAGAGCCGGGUAUGUAGAAUGCGAUUCAAGUCAGAAUGCCUGCCGCCAUCAUGGGGCUUUUCCAGGCACCCUCUCGUCAAUGUUCUUCCCACAACAGGAGUAAAAUCCAUGGCUGAAGCAAAUAAAGUCGCCGUCGUCACCGGAGGAGGCCAGGGAAUCGGCAAAUGAAUUGGCGGGAGGGC